GAUGAAGAACGCAGCGAAAUGCGAUAAGUAAUGUGAAUUGCAGAAUUCAGUGAAUCAUCGAAUCUUUGAACGCACAUUGCGCCCCCUGGUAUUCCGGGGGGCAUGCCUGUCCGAGCGUCAUUACAACCUUCAAGCUCAGCUUGGUGUUGGGCCCCGCCGCCCCGGCGGGCCCUAAAGUCAGUGGCGGUGCCGUCCGGCUCCGAGCGUAGUAAUUCUUCUCGCUCUGGAGGUCCGGUCGUGUGCUCGCCAGCAACCCCCAAUUUUUUUCAGGUUGACCUCGGAUCAGGUAGGGAUACCCGCUGAACUUAAGCAUAUCAAUAAGCGGAGGA
rnacentral:misc_RNA from 1 species